CCUACGGGAGACAGCAGUGAGGAAUAUUGGUCAAUGGACGAGAGUCUGAACCAGCCAAGUAGCGUGAAGGAUGACUGCCCUAUGGGUUGUAACCUUCUUUUAUAAAGGAAUACAACGAGGCACGUGUGCCUUUUUGCAUGUACUUUAUGAAUAAGGAUCGGCUAACUCCGUGCCAGCAGCCGCGGUAAUACGGUGGAUCCGAGCGUUAUCCGGAUUUAUUGGGUUUAAAGGGAGCGUAGAUGGGUUGUUAAGUCAGUUGUGAAAGUUUGCGGCUCAACCGUAAAAUUGCAAUUGAUACUGGCAGUCUUGAGUACAGUUGAGGUAGGCGGAAUUCGUGGUGUAGCGGUGAAAUGCUUAGAUAUCACGAAGAACCCCGAUUGCGAAGGCAGCUUACUAAACUGUGACUGACAUUGAUGCUCGAAAGUGUGGGUAUCAAACAGGAUUAGAUACCCGGGUAGUC
rnacentral:rRNA from 1 species